rnacentral:rRNA from 1 species
AUUGAACGCUGGCGGCAGGCCUAACACAUGCAAGUCGAACGGCAGCACAGAAGAGCUUGCUCUUUGGGUGGCGAGUGGCGGACGGGUGAGUAAUGUCUGGGAAACUGCCCGAUGGAGGGGGAUAACUACUGGAAACGGUAGCUAAUACCGCAUAACGUCGCAAGACCAAAGUGGGGGACCUUCGGGCCUCACACCAUCGGAUGUGCCCAGAUGGGAUUAGCUAGUAGGUGGGGUAAUGGCUCACCUAGGCGACGAUCCCUAGCUGGUCUGAGAGGAUGACCAGCCACACUGGAACUGAGACACGGUCCAGACUCCUACGGGAGGCAGCAGUGGGGAAUAUUGCACAAUGGGCGCAAGCCUGAUGCAGCCAUGCCGCGUGUGUGAAGAAGGCCUUCGGGUUGUAAAGUACUUUCAGCGGGGAGGAAGGCGGUGAGGUUAAUAACCUCGCCGAUUGACGUUACCCGCAGAAGAAGCACCGGCUAACUCCGUGCCAGCAGCCGCCGUAA